AAAUAAUUAGAAAGUAAAAUUAAAGUAGAAUUAAAGAAAAUUACCCCCUCACAAACAAAAAACUGAAAAGGUUUCAAAAUUAAAAAAACCCUUUUUCAAAAAAGUACCUUUUGUAUCAUGGUUAAGGGAGUAGAAAAUGAAUCGUUUUUCCCGAAUUUCUAGAAUUUUCGCUCCAGAGGAUUUUUGUAAAACUAAGAUCCACCACUGGCGUGAGGAAGUGAAACGCUAUCGGCUAGAAUUAUAUCUGGUUCUUUUUAAAAAGAAUUCAAUUCUAGCCUCAAGCAAUUCUUGCUUGAGGGCAUAGCCUAAAAGGGAUAAGCUUUUUAGGAGAAAGAAAACUAUUCAAACGAUUAAAUUGGAUUUUCAUUUUUUCUUUUCCACAAAAAAGAGAACAUUAAAAUUUAAACAAUGUUUUUAAUAUCCUUAAAUGAGUACAAACAAAAAUUAGUUAAAGGAACUCGGCAAAAAGUAGAUUGGCCUGUUUAAUAAAAACAUCUCCUCUAGAAAAAAAUUAGAGGUUGAGCCUGCCCAAUGCUUUUGUAAAUGGCUGCAGAAUUCAUAACUGUACUAAGGUAGCAUAAUAAUUUGCUCUUUCAUUGAGAGCUAGAAUGAACGGUUUGACUAAAUCUAAUCUGUCUCUAAUUAAAUUUUGGAAAUUGAACUGUGAGUAAAAAUGCUUACGUUUUAGAGAGGGACGAGAAGACCCUGUAGAACUUUGAAUCUUUUAUCAGAUUUUACCUGGGAAGGGGUGUGGAAAACUUUUUUUAAAAAAAAACCGAUUAGUUGAAACAGACGAUCCCGAACAGAAAAAAAGAAAAAGUUACCUCAGGGAUAACAGCGUUAUUCAGAUAAUUUAGCUCUUAUGGAUUAUUUGGUUUACGACCUCGAUGUUGAAUUAGGUCACCUUUUUGACGAAGAAAGCAAAAAAGUCAGUCUGUUCGACUGUUAAAAACCUACAUGAUUUGAGUUUAAACCGACGUGAGUCAGGUUGGAUUCUAUCUUCUCUUAAUUUUUUCUUUUCAGUACGAAAGGACCAUUUGAAAGUAAGAAUUUAUUU
rnacentral:rRNA from 1 species